rnacentral:rRNA from 1 species
AGUGAACGCUGGCGGUAGGCCUAACACAUGCAAGUCGAACGGCAGCACAGUAAGAGCUUGCUCUUACGGGUGGCGAGUGGCGGACGGGUGAGGAAUACAUCGGAAUCUACUUUUUCGUGGGGGAUAACGUAGGGAAACUUACGCUAAUACCGCAUACGACCUACGGGUGAAAGCAGGGGAUCUUCGGACCUUGCGCGAUUGAAUGAGCCGAUGUCGGAUUAGCUAGUUGGCGGGGUAAAGGCCCACCAAGGCGACGAUCCGUAGCUGGUCUGAGAGGAUGAUCAGCCACAGUGGAACUGAGACACGGUCCAGACUCCUACGGGAGGCAGCAGUGGGGAAUAGUGGACAAUGGGCGCAAGCCUGAUCCAGCCAUACCGCGUGGGUGAAGAAGGCCUUCGGGUUGUAAAGCCCUUUUGUUGGGAAAGAAAAGCAGCAGGUUAAUACCCCGCUGUUCUGACGGUACCCAAAGAAUAAGCACCGGCUAACUUCGUG